rnacentral:tRNA from 1 species
ACUUAUAUAGUUUAUAAAAACAUUACGUUUUCACUGUAAAAAUAAGAUUUAAUCUUUAUAAGUU